rnacentral:rRNA from 1 species
ACCAGACUCCUACGGGAGGCAGCAGUGGGGGAUAUUGCACAAUGGGGGAAACCCUGAUGCAGCGACGCCGCGUGGGUGAAGAAGCGCCUCGGCGCGUAAAGCCCCGUCAGCAGGGAAGAAAAUGACGGUACCUGAAGAAGAAGCCCCGGCUAACUACGUGCCAGCAGCCGCGGUAAUACGUAGGGGGCAAGCGUUAUCCGGAUUUACUGGGUGUAAAGGGAGCGUAGACGGCCAGACAAGUCAGAAGUGAAAGUCCAGGGCUCAACCCUGGGACUGCUUUUGAAACUGCCGGGCUGGAGUGCAGGAGAGGUAAGCGGAAUUCCUAGUGUAGCGGUGAAAUGCGUAGAUAUUAGGAGGAACACCAGUGGCGAAGGCGGCUUACUGGACUGUAACUGACGUUGAGGCUCGAAAGCGUGGGGAGCAAACAGGAUUAGAUACCCCUGUA